CUACACAGCCAUAUCACCCUGCAGCCCAAGACUGGUUGCCCACUGAAGCUAAGCAGGGUUGAGCCUGGUCAGUACCUGGAUGGGAGACCUCCUGGGAAAACUAGGUUGCUGUUGGA
rnacentral:rRNA from 1 species